GAAGCUUUCUGCACAGGAACUGCAAUGGUUGUUAAUCCUGUUGGUAGUGUAACCUAUCAUGAAAAGAGGUACAGCAGCUAUGUCGUAUAUUUUGUUUCAAACUCGAAUCUCACAACCUUGAAAAUGAUUUAAAUACCACUGAGCCAAAGCCUAUGUUGUAAUUUGCAAGUUAAAGUAAACAGUUCUUUUUCCCUUUCUGAUCUUGAGGAUAUUC
rnacentral:misc_RNA from 1 species